rnacentral:tRNA from 1 species
AGGUAAGGUGGCCGAGGGAUUUAGAGGCGGUGGGCUGUAGCCCCAAAAACAGAGGUUCAAAUCCUCUCCUUGCCA